rnacentral:lncRNA from 1 species
GGUGGACUUGCUGCUCAGACUAGCGGGUCUGAAGUGACGUGCCAGACAAGGCAUGUUCUUCGACAACAGAUUCCUGAAGUGACUCUGAAACCGCUUACCCACAAAGGAGUAGAACAUGGGGCUGAUGCAACAAUACAAGAACGCUAUGUUUCUGGUCACGUACAACGCAUAGUUCAACGCCUCGACCUGAUCGCACUUCCGGUUUGCUUCGUCGGCUGUGGAGAUCUGAAUGCACAUCGGGUUUGCUUCGUCGGCUGUGGAGAUCUGAAUGGCCUUCAGCAGGAUCACGAUGUUAUAGGGAGUCCAGCAAACGAAGAAGGUGAACAUGAUGAUGAAUAUCAGCUUCACCGAGCGCCAUUUCUCCCUCAUGCGAGUGGACAUGAUCCGCACGGUGAUGCAGGUGUAGCAGUACAUAACCAUGGAGAGGGGCAGCAGGAAGAAGAGGAGGAACCGCAUGUAGUAGCUGACCAGAUUCCACUGUUUGACGAUGUCGGUGUGGUAUCCUGUCUCCUCACACAUCAGGCCCUGCUCGCUGUCCUCCCACACGCCUUUGAACACCAGCUCAUUGAGACUGGCCAGCACACUGAUGAACCAAACGAUCAACGACGCCCCGAUGGCGUACGCCCUCUUCCUGCUCUUGGCAGCGGACACCGCGUGCACCACGGCCAGGUAGCGGUCAAAGGUCAUCAGGGUGAGGAAGAGGAUGGAACUGUAGAAACCAAUCAGAUGGGCACUGCUGACCAACUUGCAAAGCACCGUGCCGAAGAUCCACUCUGAGGAAUGGUAUUUGGCCAGGAAGGGGAAGCUGGAUGCAAACAGGAUGUUGGAGGUGACCAGAUUGAGGAGGAAGAUGUUGGUGACGCUGUUGACCUUCUCAAGCUUGACGAUGAUGAACAAAACAAGCCAGUUGCCUAAGUAACUCAGGAGGAAGUUGAUGUAGUAGAAAUAAGGAAUGAUGGCUGAGCCAAAUUGGUUGACGUGAGAUGUAGAGCAGUGUUGGACGAGCACGUCCUCCACGUAAGAUGCAUAGCUUGUGUUUUCGCUAUUGUUAAACAUUUCCAAGUAUUUUUCAUCGUCAUAUUCAUAAUUCUGCUCAUCCCCCAUGGUUAUUGCUUAAACCUGUGGUAAAUAGAAAAACAUAUUAAUACGUCUCAUAUGAUUGAAUGCUAUGAUAAUCGAUAUGCAUUUGAGACGGAAGGCUGUGCCAAUCAAGCAUUAGCUGCUCUGAAGUGGAGCUUCAAAUGACAACACAAUUAAAACACUUUUAUGCUUAAAAGAACUGGAUCAAAUAUUGUUGAAAGUUGAAGGAACAAAAGGGAUAAAAACACUUGACAAGCAAUCAAUAUGUCAUAAUAUAUUAUUAUAAUAAUAAUAAUAAUAGUAUAAUAUUUCUAAUAUAAUAUGAGAAAUAUUUAAUAUAUUAUUAUAUAAUAAGCAAGACAAUAGCUGAGAGCUGAAAGAUGACACUGUACAAAUUAAUGUAGGAUAUUUUCUAUGCCCAAAUCAUGUUUCUUACUCAUUAUUUUACUGAUUGUAAUUGCAGCUUGAAUUUGUCUUCUCCAUUCUUUAACAUAAAUACAAAUGAUAAUAAUCAAUUGAUAAUAAUAAUGACCUAUUGCUGGAGGUGGACGGGCCUCCAGCUUAUUUUAGCGUAAAGGGAGAACUUAAUUUGGCUUUUAAAAGAUUCUUCUGAAACAAAACUCACCAAUGUUGAUUUCUGUGUGUGGAGGAGUGAAGAGCUGACUAAUGUCUGAGCCUGUCUUCAGUUUCAGGUCUCUAUUGUUGAGCAUAGACAUGAGGGUUAAGGGGAAGGCCUUAAGAGGAACCGAGAUAUCCUCCCAUUUACAUUACGCAGCUAAGAAUGACACCUCUCGCCCAUACGAUGAUUCUGCCACCGAUACUGAACAGAAGUUUGGCCUGGACUCAAUGUGUUUUACACUCAUACUUUACAAAGUCAAAUAUUGAUGAUGAUGUAAAUGGGGAGGAUUUAUUAUUGUCACCGCAGAGAGUAACAACA